rfam:Salmo salar isolate Sally breed double haploid chromosome ssa27, whole genome shotgun sequence.
GCCGAAAUAGCUCAGUUGGGCGAGCGUUAGACUAAAGAUCUAAAGAUCCCGGGUUUCGGCA